AUGGCGACGUCAACUUCGCGCGACCGCGGCGGCUACCCGCCGGACUCGACGCGGCUGCGCAUCGGCGACGACAUCGCCUGGGCGGACGUCGGCGGCGUCUACGACCGCGACGACUCCCUCAAGGAGAACACCAACCCCAAGUGCCUGCUCAAGGCCCACAACCCGAGCGCGCCCGGCCAGCACCACCACCACCACCACAACGGCGCCGCGUCGCAGCGCUUCUCCGGGAACCUGAAGCCCACGGCGGCGCCCAUCAUCGGCCUCUCCGGGAAGCUCGGCCAGGGCGGCGCGCGGCGGACCCACCAGCAGCACCCGCCCGCCAUGUUCCCCAAGAAGGCCAAGACCGGCGGCGGCGGCCGCAACCCGAGGCCCGCCGUCCCGGAGGACGAGCCCAGCUCCCCCAAGGUCUCGUGCAUCGGGAAGGUGCUCUCCGAGCGCGAGAGGGCGCGGCGCAGGCCUCGCCCGCCCCCCUCGGAGCGCCCUCCUUCCGGCUGCUGCCCUGGACUCGGCUUCCUCAUGCGCCGCAGCCGCUCGCGGAAGAGCGCCGUGGAGAGCGUCGACUGGUCCCCGCCUCCCCCGCCACCGGCAGCGAGGCGGAGGGAGGCGAAGGCGGCCGAGACGGAGGAGGCCGCGCCGGCGCCGGCGCCCGGGCUGGGAGGGGUCAUGCGGUUCGCGUCGGGGAGGCGGGCGGCGGAUUGGGCGGCCCAGAUGGAGGUGGACGACCGCGUGGCGAAAUCCGGGCCGUUGUAG
rnacentral:rRNA from 1 species